rnacentral:rRNA from 1 species
AUUGAACGCUGGCGGCAGGCCUAACACAUGCAAGUCGAGCGGUAGAGAGAAGCCUGCUUCUCUUGAGAGCGGCGGACGGGUGAGUAAUGCCUAGGAAUCUGCCUGGUAGUGGGGGAUAACGUACGGAAACGGACGCUAAUACCGCAUACGUCCUACGGGAGAAAGCAGGGGACCUUCGGGCCUUGCGCUAUCAGAUGAGCCUAGGUCGGAUUAGCUAGUUGGUGAGGUAAUGGCUCACCAAGGCGACGAUCCGUAACUGGUCUGAGAGGAUGAGCAGUCACCCUGGAACUGAGACACGGUCCAGAGUCCUACGGGAGGCAGGAGUGGGGAAUAUUGGACAAUGGGGGAGAGCCUGAUCCAGCCAUUCCGCGUGUGUGAAGAAGGUCUUCGGAUUGUAAAGCACUUUAGGUUGGGAGGAAGGGUUGUAGAUUAAUACUCUGCAAUUUUGACGUUACCGACAGAAUAAGCACCGGCUAACUCUGUGCCAGCCGCCGCCGUAA